CACAGUGAGCCCCCCACGUGCCCUGCAGUGCUCUGUGCUGUUGUUGAAGUGAUCUGCACAUGUGUCCUCCAGUCCUGCCCUGCAGUUCUUCUCUGCUAUUUUUGAAGCAGGAUGAACAAGAAAGAAAUGCCGGAAAAGAAAACGUUACAGAUUCCAACCCAGAAAGUGAAGGUCUGAGAGAACACCCCUCAACGGAAUGAGCAAUCUAAUCCAGACCAGGUCUGAGAGCUUCAGACUCUUUGAAACCUCAGUGGAGAGAGACUUCACCAUAGCCCAUCUUCACCACCAGGCCAGCAGGAGCUCUUCCCUGGGUGUGGUGUGUUCGUGUCAUCGUUCUGCCAUGCUGCCAUGAACCACACAUCUAAACCACAUCGCAUGCAUCAGUUUCAUGCACUGUCCAAUCAUGUCCUCACUGUUGGAGUAUCAAAAUCCCUUUUGGUCUUCCUGGAAAUGAUCCCUCCGGAAAAGAAGGAAAGCGGAUCCGUUGACGCAAUCCUAACUUGUGUCCUGAGAUGUCCCACUCCACCUGGUUGG